AGAGUUUGAUCCUGGCUCAGAACGAACGCUGGCGGCGUGCUUAACACAUGCAAGUCGCGUGCGCAGUUCCCGUAGCAAUACGGGGAUGGGCGCACGGCGCACGGGUGCGUAACACGUGGGCAAUCUGCCCUCCGAUGGGGAAUAACCCCGCGAAAGCGGGGCUAAUACCGCAUAACAUUCCUUGGACGAUGGUUCGAGGAUUCAAAGCAGUGAUGCGUCGGAGGAGGAGCCCGCGCCCGAUUAGCUUGUUGGCGAGGUAACGGCUCACCAAGGCAAUGAUCGGUAGCUGGUCUGAGAGGAUGAUCAGCCACACUGGAACUGAGACACGGUCCAGACUCCUACGGGAGGCAGCAGUGGGGAAUCUUGCACAAUGGGCGAAAGCCUGAUGCAGCGACGCCGCGUGGGGGAUGAAGCUUCUCGGAGUGUAAACCCCUUUCGCCUGGGACGAAUGCCCGCAAGGGAGUGACGGUACCAGGAUAAGAAGCCCCGGCUAACUACGUGCCAGCAGCCGCGGUAAGACGUAGGGGGCCAGCGUUGUUCGGAAUUACUGGGUGUAUAGGGUUCGUAGGCGGUGUGGCAAGUUGGGAGUGAAAUCUCUGGGCUCAACCCAGAGGCUGCUUCCAAAACUGCUGUGCUUGAGUGUGAGAGAGGCUCGUGGAAUUGCAGGUGUAGCGGUGAAAUGCGUAGAUAUCUGCAGGAACACCCGUGGCGAAAGCGGCGAGCUGGAUCACUACUGACGCUGAGGAACGAAAGCUAGGGGAGCAAACAGGAUUAGAUACCCUGGUAGUCCUAGCCCUAAACGAUCAGGACUUGGGGUGCCGCCCGUUCGGGCGUCGUCCCGGAGCUAUCGCGUUAAGUCCUGCACCUGGGGAGUACGGUCGCA
rnacentral:rRNA from 1 species